CCAGUUGGCUGGAUGACCGCUGCCGCAAUGGCCGAAAGGCCGCGGGGGAGGAAAGUCCGGGCUCCACGGAAAAACGGUGCCGGAUAACGUCCGGCGGGGGCAACCCCAGGGAAAGUGCCACAGAGAACAGACCGCCGGGGCAUGCCCCGGCAAGGGUGAAACGGUGCGGUAAAAGCGCACCGCGCUUCUGGCAACAGCGGCGGCAGGGCAAACCCCACCGGGAGCAAGACCGAAUAGGGGUGGCGCGGCGGAGAUGAUCCGCCAGGGCUUUUCCGGCCUGCCGCCCGGGUUGGUUGCGUGAAGCAUCCGGUAACGGAUGUUCCAGAUGAAUGGUCAUCCAGCGUUCAUGCCCUUCGGGGCGGGGGCGCGGACAGAACCCGGCUUACAGGCCGGCUGGCGCU
rnacentral:RNase_P_RNA from 1 species